rnacentral:rRNA from 1 species
CCUACGGGUGGCAGCAGUGAGGGAUAUUGCACAAUGGGGGGAACCCUGAUGCAGCGACGCCGCGUGGGUGAAGGAGUGCUUCGGCAUGUAAAGCCCUAUCGGCGGGGAAGAAGCAAGACGGUACCUGACUAAGAAGCCCCGGCUAACUACGUGCCAGCAGCCGCGGUAAUACGUAGGGGGCGAGCGUUAUCCGGAUUCACUGGGUGUAAAGGGAGCGUGGACGGCCAUGGAAGCCAGGGGUGACAGCCCGGGGACCAACCCCGGGACUGCCCUUGGAACUGCAUGGCGGGAGUGCGGGAGGGGCAGGCGGAAUUCCUGGUGUAGCGGUGAAAUGCGUAGAUAUCAGGAGGAACACCGGCGGCGAAGGCGGCCUGCUGGACCGCGACUGACGUUGAGGCUCGAAAGCGUGGGGAGCGAACAGGAUUAGAUACCCUGGUAGUC